GAUGAACGCUAGCGGCAGGCCUAACACAUGCAAGUCGAGGGGUAGAGUUAGCUUGCUAACUUGAGACCGGCGCACGGGUGCGUAACGCGUAUGCAAUCUACCUUAUACAGGGGAAUAGCCCAGAGAAAUUUGGAUUAAUGCCCCAUAGUAUUAUUGAAUGGCAUCAUUUGAUAAUUAAAGUUCCAACGGUAUAAGAUGAGCAUGCGUCCCAUUAGUUAGUUGGUAAGGUAACGGCUUACCAAGACUAUGAUGGGUAGGGGUCCUGAGAGGGAGAUCCCCCACACUGGUACUGAGACACGGACCAGACUCCUACGGGAGGCAGCAGUGAGGAAUAUUGGACAAUGGGCGCAAGCCUGAUCCAGCCAUGCCGCGUGCAGGAAGACGGUCCUAUGGAUUGUAAACUGCUUUUAUACAGGAAGAAACACCUCUACGUGUAGAGGCUUGAAGGUACUGUAAGAAUAAGGAUCGGCUAACUCCGUGCCAGCAGCCG
rnacentral:rRNA from 1 species